rnacentral:misc_RNA from 1 species
GAUACCGACGUCCAAGAUCUCGAAGAGCAGUGUCAGUUCGUGACUGAAAGCCUUGGCGUUUUGCUGUCCCUGAUACACGUUAUUCUACAAAUUUGUUAAACAAACACGUACAUUGUUUUAAAAGUCUAGAAAUGGCUACUGGUCUCGAUAACUUAAAUGGCUCUCAUUUGAUUAAUCACGAUGAUUUGCAAGGUCUAUCGUCUCAUUGCCAAGAAAGCGAAAGCCCAAAUUUCAGCCAGAAGAGUGCGUGCUUCUCAUACGGUGGCCGAAGUUUGUUGUCACCCGUCUCGGGGACGGAAGACGGGUUUCAAGACCUCUCAUCGGCCAGCCGAACCAACCGUGCGACUCCUAACGAGAUUUCUGCUCCCUACGAAGUCCCACAAUUUCCAAUAGAAGAAAUUGAACGAAAAUUAGCCAUUCAAAGGCAACUGAGUCUUAGAUUCCCACCAGAAUUAGUUCCGCAUCUAACAACUUCUCACGAACCUGGAAUCGAAAUCGAUUCGUCUCAGGCAGCCGCUACUGGUUUACCCACUGUUGAACAAGACUACACGCCACUCUUCCAACGAGUCUCCAUUACAGGAGAUGAGGACACAGGAGGAGUUCCCUAUGAAGAUUUGUUGGACGCCUCUGAACUGCUGAUUAAAUCGCUGACACUCCGCAGAGAUUAUUGCCGCCCGGCUGCGCACUCCUUCCCUUCGACCACAGCCCGUUUCCUUCAAACCAACGAACGGAACGGCAUUGCAGAUGUGGAAACGGUCCACGAAGAAAAAAAGACCGUAGAAGAUCACCCAAUUCACCCUCCGCCUCACGUCUUGUCAUCGCACAACGACGGCGAAAUUCCUGAAUCGGCAAACUGCGUCAUUAAGGCCUUGGAUGGUGUAUUUCAAGUUUACGAAAGUCAAGAGGCAGCCGAUAAUGGUGAAAGUCUGAAUUUCUCCUACCCGGUGUUCAAGAAGUACAUUGACGACGUUCACAAAAUGUGCAACAUGAUAUCAAAUGGGCCAUUGAAAUCAUUCUGCUAUCGCCGACUUACGUAUCUCUCAGCCAAAUACCAACUUCACGUUCUUUUAAACGAAAUGCAAGAGUUAGCUCUCCAAAAGUGCGUCCCGCAUCGAGAUUUCUACAACAUCCGAAAAGUGGACACUCACAUUCACGCAGCUUCGUGUAUGAACCAAAAACAUUUAUUGCGCUUCAUUAAGAAGAAGAUGAGGGACAGCGGCAACGAAGUUGUUUGUCUGAACAAAAAAGGCCAGGAGUUGACAUUGAAUCAAGUGUUCGAAGAAAUGAAUCUCUCCGCUUAUGAUUUGACAGUCGACAUGCUUGACGUUCACGCGGAUCGCAAUACCUUCCAUCGAUUCGAUAAGUUCAAUGCGAAAUAUAAUCCUAUAGGAGAAAGUCGUUUACGCGAAGUAUUUCUUAAAACCGAUAACUACGUGGGAGGGAAAUAUUUUGCAGAAAUUAUUAAAGAGGUAGCCGCAGACUUGGAGGAGAGUAAAUAUCAAAAUGCCGAGUUGCGACUAUCUGUCUAUGGAAAAUCCAGGGAUGAGUGGGAGAAAUUGGCCAAGUGGGCUCACAACUUUCAAGUUUAUUCGGACAAUAUCCGCUGGCUGGUUCAAAUGCCGCGUUUAUAUGAUAUUUAUAGAUCAAACAAGCUGAUUAGCAACUUUCAACAACUGAUCGACAAUCUAUUUCUUCCUUUAUUCGAAGCAACCAACAAUCCAGAAGCGCAUCCCGAGUUACAUUGUUUUCUUAAACAGUUGGUGGGUUUUGAUUCUGUUGACGAUGAAAGUAAACCUGAACAUCCGGUGUUCGAUAGAGAAGUUCCAACACCGGAAGAGUGGACGGAAGAAGAAAAUCCUCCUUACGCUUAUUACGUCUACUACGUUUACGCCAAUAUGUGUGUUUUAAACCAAUUUCGAAAGUCACGAGGAAUGAACACUUUCGUCUUCAGACCUCAUUGCGGCGAAGCAGGGCCAGUUCAACAUUUGAUUUGUGGUUUCCUUCUCGCUGAAAAUAUUUCUCAUGGUUUGCUAUUGAGAAAGGUCCCAGUGUUGCAGUAUUUAUACUACUUGUGCCAGAUCGGAAUAGCAAUGUCUCCAUUGAGCAAUAAUUCUCUUUUUUUGAAUUAUCAUCGCAAUCCACUUCCCGAGUUUCUGGCCCGAGGAAUGUGCAUUUCUCUUUCGACAGAUGAUCCGCUUCAAUUUCAUUUCACCAAAGAACCUUUAAUGGAAGAAUACAGCAUUGCAGCUCAAGUGUGGAAACUUAGCCCGUGCGACAUGUGUGAAUUGGCUCAUAAUUCCGUUCGAAUGAGUGGCUACCCUCAUAAAGUGAAACAACAUUGGCUAGGCCCCAACUAUACACGCGAAGGUGUGGCCGGUAAUGACAUUUUCAGGACGAACGUCCCUGACAUACGCGUUGCAUACCGCUAUGAAACACUGGUAGCGGAACUAAAUAGCAUUUUCAAAACUGUUUUACUCAACGAUCAUAAAGGAUUUGUUAACGAAAAAUGAGCGAAAAGUAGAGCCUAUAUACAGUUAAAACUGUAAUAAGCAACGAUUCUGUAAGUGCAGAUACAAAGUAACCGAAUUUGUCAUGCUUAUAUUAAAAAAAAAAAAACAUAAAAAAAAGUUUUUAAAUUAGUAAUGAGUGCAUUUUUCUUUUUCUGAGAAGUAGGGGAGGGGACUUAUCUCUAUUUGAAACGAAUUUUAUUAGUUUUUUAACAAUCAUUCCUUGAUUUGGUAUUACUGGCUUUUAGAAGAUAAAAGAACUAAAUUUUAAUGCCAUUAUUUAAAAACAUAAUAAAUCGUUAUUCAUCAAAUUCGUCUAAUACACUAUUAAAAAACAGCGCUUUUUUUUAAUCUGCAAAAUUUGAAAUAUAUAUAUACUGUAUAUAGUUGGUAGUUUCUAAAAUAUUAGGACUAACAUCACGAAUUUUAAUGUUAAAAACACACAAGGCACAACUUACUUUGAAUUUGCAAUGGACUCUAGCUCUAGCUUCAAUAAGAGAUAUAGAAGUAGAAAAUAUUUUCUAUAUCUGUUAUUCUUAUCUGUUAAACGUUUUACUUUACACUGUAAUGGCAAAUGGCAAUAAAGCGCCCGAUAUCGCUCAGAUUCAAACAAUUGUGCUUCAAUGCGUUGCCAACAGGGGGGACCUUCGAGUAAGGAGUAGUUCAAGUUCGGGAAAAGAAUAUGUUAAAAACUCUUCAUUUUUUCCCGAGGUGAAUACUCAACAUAGAUUUAUUGCUGCCUGUACUGUAUUACUCUAUAUGUGCGCAAGCACAAGCUUAGAAAUGCUUUAAGUAUAAUACUGCUUGAACGCUGCCAACUCAUUGAUAGGAUUUGAAAAUGUCCGUGCAUAUAAUCAUUCAUUCAUGGAGUUUCAAGUAACUGAAAAAAGAAGUGUAGACGGCCACUCGUCUGAAUCUGUAAAUCCAAGGAAACAAGUUUCUAAAUGCCCCGCGGGAGUUGCUAACCUAUUUUUGUUUCAUUUCUGUGUGGACUUUCGUCCGAGAUAAAACGCACAUUUGUUUACUCUCAGAGAACUUGCGCUGGAAAUAUGUUGACAAGGGCGAGGAACCAGAAUAUUCUGCGUCGGUUGAUAUGUGCGCCCCAAGGUCGACGAUACCAGCAUAAUCAACAUGUGGUUACACCAACGAAAAUCUACGAACUACGAACCUAUGCAAUAUGGCCACAAAAUGUUAAAGAUUUUCUUAAUUUGACUUCAGAAGAAUUUCAUCUGAGAACUUCUCAGUCCAAACUGAUUGGAUAUUGGACAAGUGAGUUAGGCGGACUUAACGAAGUAGUACACAUAUGGGAAUACGAUAGUUUAGAGCAUCGCGCACAAGUACGAGCAAGCUUAGCUGGAAACAGCGAAUGGAUACAACGCUAUUUUGGCAAAAUUUUGCCUUGGAUGAGUGGCCAGCAAAAUUCCGUAGUUUCAGUCAUACCUGGAAUCACACUGAGCAACUCGGUGGAAAAGGGCGUGUAUCAACUGCAGACGUUUCCUAUCACUCCAAAUCAACUGGAAAAAAGUCCAACUUUAAUUGAGCAAAAUAGUGGCAAUCUUCUCAUCGGCGCAUUCCAAACACUACACGGGAAUUUAAAUACUUCAGUUCUGCUUUGGAAACACCCCACACUCUCAGCAGCAACUAAUUUAGUGUUUCAACAAAUGAAAAGCAAAGAUUGGCAGCAGAUUGCAAAUGGAUAUUCCAAAAUCUUAGUGCCUCAUAAAGUAUCACCCCUGCAAUAGAUAGUUUUAAAUUAGAAACUUCCUUGGCAUGUGUAAAAAUUCAAAUGUGACUGAAUUUUCAAAAAUACAUUGACAAACUGGCGCUAUA